rnacentral:rRNA from 1 species
UAGCUAGUUGGUGAGGUAAAGGCUCACCAAGGCGACGAUCUGUAGCGGGUCUGAGAGGAUGAUCCGCCACACUGGAACUGAGACACGGUCCAGACUCCUACGGGAGGCAGCAGUGGGGAAUUUUUGGACAAUGGGGGCAACCCUGAUCCAGCCAUGCCGCGUGAGUGAAGAAGGCCUUCGGGUUGUAAAGCUCUUUCGGCCGGGAAGAAAUCGCAUGGGCCAAUACCCUGUGCGGAUGACGGUACCGGCAUAAGAAGCACCGGCUAACUACGUGCCAGCAGCCGCGGUAAUACGUAGGGUGCGAGCGUUAAUCGGAAUUACUGGGCGUAAAGCGUGCGCAGGCGGUUUUGUAAGACAGGCGUGAAAUCCCCGGGCUCAACCUGGGAACUGCGUUUGUGACUGCAAGGCUAGAGUACGGCAGAGGGGGGUGGAAUUCCACGUGUAGCAGUGAAAUGCGUAGAGAUGUGGAGGAACACCAAUGGCGAAGGCAGCCCCCUGGGUCGAUACUGACGCUCAUGCACGAAAGCGUGGGUAGCAAACAGGAUUAGAUACCCUGGUAGUCCACGCCCUAAACGAUGUCAACUAGGUGUUGGGUGGGUAAAACCAUUUAGUACCGGAGCUAACGCGUGAAGUUGACCGCCUGGGGAGUACGGCCGCAAGGUUAAAACUCAAAGGAAUUGACGGGGACCCGCACAAGCGGUGGAUGAUGUGGAUUAAUUCGAUGCAACGCGAAAAACCUUACCUACCCUUGACAUGUCCAGGAGCCUGAAGAGAUUUGGGUGUGCCCGAAAGGGAACUGGAACACAGGUGCUGCAUGGCUGUCGUCAGCUCGUGUCGUGAGAUGUUGGGUUAAGUCCCGCAACGAGCGCAACCCUUGUCGUUAAUUGCCAUCAUUCAGUUGGGCACUUUAACGAGACUGCCGGUGACAAACCGGAGGAAGGUGGGGAUGACGUCAAGUCCUCAUGGCCCUUAUGGGUAGGGCUUCACACGUCAUACAAUGGUCGGUACAAAGGGUUGCCAAGCCGCGAGGUGGAGCCAAUCCCAGAAAGCCGAUCGUAGUCCGGAUCGUAGGCUGCAACUCGCCUGCGUGAAGUCGGAAUCGCUAGUAAUCGUGGAUCAGCAUGUCACGGUGAAUACGUUCCCGGGUCUUGUACACACCGCCCGUCACACCAUGGGAGCGGGUUCCGCCAGAAGUAGGUAGCCUAACCGCAAGGGGGGCGCUUACCACGGCGGGGUUCGUGACUGGGGUGAAGUCGUAACAAGGUAGCCGUAGGGGAACCUGCGGCUG